rnacentral:tRNA from 1 species
AAGGAUUUAAGUUAUUUAAACUUUCAACCUUCAAAGUUGACAAUAGAAUUUUUUUUUCUAAGCCUUA